UGGAGAGUGAGACUGAAAAAGACCUGAACAAGAGGAUUUCCAAGGCAAGCGACGUGGAUAAAAUAAUGAUCUGCUGCCAGUAUUUAUCGGCGGUAGCCAUAAGGAGAAGCCACGACACACUACAGACCUGUUUUCAUGAGCAGUGUCAGUCUGCUAUAAGGAACAUUUGCCAGAAAGGACAUGAAGGAGAUAUAAUGCGCAGUCUGACAUCGAAAGUGCCGGAUCUCCCUGAAGUCAUCACAUCUGCUUUUGUGCUCGAGUCAGCAACACGCUUCAGAGACAAUCCUGUCGUCCAGCUGCUUGAUCCACAGUCUGCCGUUAACUACCUGCUGUCUCAAGGUAUUUAUUUAUUACUUCCACCAUGGAGCUACCAUGAAACUUGGUGAGAGGGAGGGGUAUCCACCAAGGAGGAAACCAUUAACUUUUAGAGUAGAUCCAAUUAAGGAGUUGGAACCAGGAAUUAUUUUUCCCCACAACGUUCUUUAAAGCUGUACUGCCUUUCAAAUUUCGCAAAAAUUACAAAAUUUAGUUUCCACCGAAAUCCAAGCAUUAUAAUGUAGGUUUAUUUUUGUAGGAUGUUGCAAAAUUACAGCUCAUUUUAAUGAUGAAAACAUAUUAUUCUGGGUGGAAAUUCAUAGCGAAUGUUUUCUUUUCCUUCUGAUGCUGUCGUGCAGAUGAACUACAGGAGGAAGCGCGUGUGUGCACGUCUAAGGUUUUGAGAUUACCUGUGACCUGAGCCACUUGCUUGAUGGGGGUUCCUGGGGCGUGCACGCCAACAUCUAUAACAUCUCUUGUAAAUCACUUCAGAUGUGUUAUCUACUUACAAA